GACGAACGCUGGCGGCGUGCCUAAUACAUGCAAGUUGAGCGCUGAAGGUUGGUACUUGUCCCAACUGGUUGAGCAGCGAACGGGUGAGUAACGCGUGGGGAAUCUGCCUUUGAGCGGGGGACAACAUUUGGAAACGAAUGCUAAUACCGCAUAAAAACUUUAAACACAAGUUUUAAGUUUGAAAGAUGCAAUUGCAUCACUCAAAGAUGAUCCCGCGUUGUAUUAGCUAGUUGGUGAGGUAAAGGCUCACCAAGGCGAUGAUACAUAGCCGACCUGAGAGGGUGAUCGGCCACAUUGGGACUGAGACACGGCCCAAACUCCUACGGGAGGCAGCAGUAGGGAAUCUUCGGCAAUGGACGAAAGUCUGACCGAGCAACGCCGCGUGAGUGAAGAAGGUUUUCGGAUCGUAAAACUCUGUUGGUAGAGAAGAACGUUGGUGAGAGUGGAAAGCUCAUCAAGUGACGGUAACUACCCAGAAAGGGACGGCUAACUACGUG
rnacentral:rRNA from 1 species